rnacentral:tRNA from 1 species
UCGACCUGCUCGUCCGGGACGUCUGCCGGCUCCGCCCCGGCGUCGAGGGACUCAGUGAGACGAUCAGCGUUCGAAGCGUCGUCGGGCGGU